AGUCACAAUGAGGAUAUUCAAACCUCUUAUGAGGAUAUUUAUCCAAGAUAAACUGGUUUAAUAUAUUAAAUUUUGGAGAGAAAAUCUUUCAAUGGAUAUAAUAUUAUAUAGAAUAUCCUAAAAUGCAAAAGGG